rnacentral:rRNA from 1 species
UAAGUACCCCGCCUGCGCCGAGUACGGCCGCAAGGCUAAAACUCAAAGAAAUUGACGGGGGCCCGCACAAGCGGCGGAGCAUGUGGAUUAAUUCGAUGCAACGCGAAGAACCUUACCUGGGUUUGACAUGCACAGGACGUGCCUAGAGAUAGGUAUUCCCUUGUGGUCUGUGUGCAGGUGGUGCAUGGCUGUCGUCAGCUCGUGUCGUGAGAUGUUGGGUUAAGUCCCGCAACGAGCGCAACCCUCGUCCUAUGUUGCCAGCGGGUUAUGCCGGGGACUCGUAGGAGACUGCCGGGGUCAACUCGGAGGAAGGUGGGGAUGACGUCAAGUCAUCAUGCCCCUUAUGUCCAGGGCUUCACACAUGCUACAAUGGCCGGUACAAAGGGCUGCGAUGCCGUGAGGUGGAGCGAAUCCUUUUAAAGCCGGUCUCAGUUCGGAUCGGGGUCUGCAACUCGACCCCGUGAAGUCGGAGUCGCUAGUAAUCGCAGAUCAGCAACGCUGCGGUGAAUACGUUCCCGGGCCUUGUACACA